rnacentral:piRNA from 1 species
UAAGCACAUGAAUUGGGAACAGAGAC